rnacentral:rRNA from 1 species
UACGUAGGGCGCGAGCGUUGUCCGGAUUUAUUGGGCGUAAAGAGCUCGUAGGCGGUCUGUCGCGUCGGCUGUGAAAACUCGGGGCUCAACCCCGAGCCUGCAGUCGAUACGGGCAGACUAGAGUUCGGUAGGGGAGACUGGAAUUCCUGGUGUAGCGGUGAAAUGCGCAGAUAUCAGGAGGAACACCGGUGGCGAAGGCGGGUCUCUGGGCCGAAACUGACGCUGAGGAGCGAAAGCGUGGGGAGCGAACAGG